CAGGAUGCCCAAUGAAAUUUGAACUUCAGAUAAACAACAAAUAAUAUUUAAAUAUAAGUAUGACCCAUGCAAUAUUUGGAACAUACUUAUACUAAAGAAUUAUUCAUUUUUUUAAUCUGAAAUUCAAAUAUAACUGAGAAUCCUGU
rnacentral:miRNA from 1 species